AUCUUGCCCAAUGGGUGUUGUAGCCUACAGGGUUCACAUUUGGAUUAGAAGAUCUUUGAUAACUUCUCUGCCCCUACAACUUGGAUGGUACCUCCUGGACCUGUGAACAUAGAAUCAACAGCCUCCUUUCAUGUUGUAGUGUGGAUGCCGGAAGUCAUCUAGUGGUUUGCCAAGCUCAUUCCAUGAGAUGAACAAAGAACUGAACACUCAGGGAAGACAGGAAGUCAAGCGCCAGAAAGCAAAAGUUGCUACACUGUGGAAAGACUGAGAAUUUAAUAGCUGCCCAGUAAAAUGCAGAUGAAUGCCUCAGGAAUCCUAAUCUGGCAAUGGAUGGUUUCUAGAGCAACACUGGUUUUCACCCCAUGUGGGAAGAGCAAAGAAGAUAAGUUCCGAUGUCAGAAAAGAAAAACAAAGCCUCACAGCAACAGAAUGAACACAUUCACAAGCAAAGAAUGAAGGAAGACAAGAGAAAAGUAGCGCUGGGUUUCCCUCAGAUCUGUUUAUAGUGCAAGCACGAAGGUGCUGACCGCUCUGAGCCAGGGGCUUCCCACUUCCAGGAAGUCCUCUCACGUUCUCUCAGUUUGGAUUACAAAUCUAAUCAAGUUGGCAAACAAGACUGACCAUCACAGUAACCUUAGAGCCCUUUCACUGACCACCUUCAAUAAAUUAAAGUCAAGAUUCCUAAAGAUGACUCAGGAGUAAGAAGCAAUUACUGCUCAUGCAGAGAAUCCACUUCCGUUCUCAGCGUCCAUGUUGGGCAGUUUACAACUGCCUUUAACUCCAGCUCUGGGACUCCCAACACCUCUGGCCUCUGAGGGGAACUGCACUCAGGUGCGUGUGUGUGCAUACACACACACACACACACACACACACACACACACACACACACACACAAUUUAAGGCAAAUCUUUAAAUAAAAAGUAAAGUUCCCAUACA